UACAGAGGGUGCGAGCGUUGUUCGGAAUCACUGGGCGUAAAGGGCGCGUAGGCGGCUUGCCAAGUCAGGGGUGAAAUCUUUCGGCUCAACCACAGAAUUGCCUUCGAUACUGUUUGGCUUGAGACCGGAAGAGGUUAGUGGAACUGCGAGUGUAGAGGUGAAAUUCGUAGAUAUUCGCAAGAACACCAGUGGCGAAGGCGGCUGACUGGUCCGGUUCUGACGCUGAGGCGCGAAAGCGUGGGGAGCAAACAGG
rnacentral:rRNA from 1 species